UUUUCUGUCCAGAAAGAGGAAAUCAGUUGAAAAAGGAAAAAUCACAUCCUUGAAAUUGUAAACUAAUAUUAAAAUUUAUUGAAAUAUCAUGCUUUUUUUCUCCUAGAAAACAACAGCAGCAACAGUAAUUGCAUGAAAUAGUACAAUUCUUUUCACCAAUCCAUUAAUAGUUACCUGGCAAAGGGAUUCCUAGAUAAGUGAUAAAUCAUUUGGGUCUAUUAAUCUACUGCAGUGUAUGUAUAUUGCUUGUCUCACUACAGGAGAUUAAUUCAUGCAGACUGAUAAGAUCUGGCAUGGGUUAUAUUUAGAAACUCAUAACAAGAGAUCAACCAAUGAAAAUAAAGUCAGUGAACUACUUCUGGGGGCUGUACAUGUACCACAAAAAGUAAUCCAUAGCUUUUUCUGUUUUAUAUCAGAGUAAUUAAUCUUCAAAAUUUAUGAGUAUGUGAUUGAAUGGAAUAAAAUCUUCCUCUAGUACAAAAAUAUUUUAACAUCAUAGAUGUAUCAUUAAUUACCUUCAUUAGCUGACUGUAAAUGGCACAUUUGCCCAAGGAUAUCAAAAUUUCAAAUCUACACAGGAAGUUCUUUGACAGAGAGCAGAAUAGAGUAAAUAUUUGGGAGAGUGUUUCCCUAAAUAUUUUACUAUAUGCAGCUUAUUUCAUCUUGGAAGUUAACAAUAAUUAACAGAAUGCACCAGGUAUAGCAUCAUAUGUGUAUAUAAAGUAUCAGCACACAUGAAUGAAUUGAGACAUGUUUAGUGACCCUAUGUAUUGUGUUCAAAGGCUCCAUCCAACCGUUCAAAGACACGUCAUAGCAGUGGAGCAAAUGGUGGCAAAUGAUGGCCUUGUGGUGGUUAGUGAAAAACUGGCAAUCUACAUUGGUGGUGGCAAACAUUGACAGAAAAUUUCUGGACCAGCAGUGACAUUAAGUUGAAAAUAAUGACAUAUUUUACACUGUAUUGAAGAUGUAAUUGCGAAAAUUAUUUAAUAAAAAACGUUAUGGCUAUCAGUGGAAAACAUCGAUAUACUAUAAUAAGAGUGGAACUGACAUUUUAACACUAUUGUUUGAACUAUUAUAUAUCACCUAGUUCAAAAUUCAUAAGCAUUUUUGUUAUACUAUAGACUUGAAAAACAUAGUUAUUUAAAGACCUAAAUAAUAUCGUUAUUGUUCUAAAUUAGUUAAAAUGCUGACUAAUUUAAGAACAAUCAAAAUAAAAGGUUGAUUUACA